GACGAACGCUGGCGGCGUGCUUAACACAUGCAAGUCGAACGGAAAGGCCCUGCUUGCAGGGUACUCGAGUGGCGAACGGGUGAGUAACACGUGGGUGAUCUGCCCUGCACUUCGGGAUAAGCUUGGGAAACUGGGUCUAAUACCGGAUAGGAGCCAUCUUUAGUGUGGUGGUUGGAAAGUUUUUUCGGUGUAGGAUGAGCUCGCGGCCUAUCAGCUUGUUGGUGGGGUAAUGGCCUACCAAGGCGGCGACGGGUAGCCGGCCUGAGAGGGUGUACGGCCACAUUGGGACUGAGAUACGGCCCAGACUCCUACGGGAGGCAGCAGUGGGGAAUAUUGCACAAUGGGCGCAAGCCUGAUGCAGCGACGCCGCGGGGGGGAUGAAGGCCUUCGGGUUGUAAACGCCUUUCGCUAGGGACGAAGCUUUUUGUGACGGUACCUAGAUAAGAAGCACCGGCUAACUACGUG
rnacentral:rRNA from 1 species